UGUGGACAUGUGAAUUGCGAC
rnacentral:misc_RNA from 1 species